AAAAAUCCCGCUCUGUUCUUCUGGUUCCUACAGAGCCCCUAAAGAGACAUGGUGUAUUCACAUAUUAAGUGGUGAGCACCACAUACUAAGAGGUAAGCGAGCGAGGGCCUGAGUCACCACCAGAGCCU
rnacentral:lncRNA from 1 species